UCCCGUUGAUCCUGCGGGAGGUUGCUGCUAUUAGAGUCCGACUAAGCCAUGCAAGUCUUCUCGCAAGAGAGGCAAACUGCUCAGUAACACGUCAAUAAUCUGCCCUUAGGUCAGGAAUAUCCUUGGGAAACUGAGGUUAAUGUCUGAUGGGAGAAAAAGAUUGGAACAUCUUUUCUUUAAAAGCUUAUGCGCCUAAGGAUGAGUUGGCGGCUGAUUAGGUAGUUGGUGGGGUAAAGGCCCACCAAGCCCAUUAUCAGUAGGGGUCUUGAAAGAGAUAGCCCCGAGAAGGGCACUGAGAUACUGGCCCUAGCCCCACGGGGUGCAGCAGGCGCGAGAACUUUACAAUGCACGCAAGUGUGAUAAGGGGACUCUGAGUGCCAAUACACUGUAUUGGCUUUUGUCAAGAGUAAAAAUCUUGGCGAAUAAGUGGUGGGCAAGACUGGUGCCAGCCGCCGCGGUAACCCCAGCGCCACGAGUGGGAACCACGUUUAUUGGGCCUAAAGCGUCCGUAGCCGGCUUGUUAAAUCUUCUGUGAAAUCGUUGGGCUUAACUUAACGGCGAGCAGAAGAAACUGGCAAGCUUGGAACCGGGAGGGGUCAGAAGUAUUUCUGAGGGAACGGUAAAAUGUUAUAAUCUCAGAAGGACUACCUGUGGCGAAGGCGUCUGACCAGAACGGAUUCGACGGUGAGGGACGAAAGCUAGGGGAGCAAUCCGGAUUAGAUACCCGAGUAGUCCUAGCAGUAAACUCUGCGAGUUAGGUAUUGCAUAUUCUUCGAGAAUGUGCAGUGUCGAAAUGAAGAUGUUAAGCUCGCCGCCUGGGAAUUACGGUCGCAAGACUGAAACUUAAAGGAAUUGGCGGGGGAGCACUACAAGGGGUGCGGCGUGCGGUUUAAUCCAAUUCAACACGGAGAAUCUCACCAGGGUCGACGGCAGGAUGAAGGUCAGUCUAAAGGGCUUACCUAGUACCUACAAUUGCGACUGACUCAGCGAUGAGGAUUAGGCACAUUGUAGGGACUGCCUUCGAAAGGAGGAGGAAGGUGCAGGCAACGAUAGGUCUGUAUGCUCCGAACGCUCUGGGCUACACGCGCGCAACAAUGGUGAAGACAAUGGGAUGCAACUCCGAAAGGAGAAGCGAAUCCUCUAAACUUCAUCUUAGUCCAGAUCGAGGGCUGGAACUCGCCCUCGUGACGUUGGAAUCCCUAGUAAUCAGAUUUUAGCAGAGUCUGGUGAAUAUGUCCCUGCUCCUUGCACACACCGCCCGUCAAACCACCCGACUAGGUUUUAGAUGAGGAUUAAUUUUCAAUUAAUCCGAAUCUAAUAUCUGCGAGGAGGGUUAAGUCGUCACAAGGUAGCCGUAGGGGAACCUGCGGCUGGAUCACCUCC
rnacentral:rRNA from 1 species